rnacentral:rRNA from 1 species
CCUGAUGCAGCGACGCCGCGUGAGGGAUGACGGCCUUCGGGUUGUAAACCUCUUUCAGUAGGGAAGAAGCGAAAGUGACGGUACCUGCAGAAGAAGCGCCGGCUAACUACGUGCCAGCAGCCGCGGUAAUACGUAGGGCGCAAGCGUUAUCCGGAAUUAUUGGGCGUAAAGAGCUCGUAGGCGGUUUGUCGCGUCUGCCGUGAAAGUCCGAGGCUCAACCUCGGAUCUGCGGUGGGUACGGGCAGACUAGAGUGAUGUAGGGGAGACUGGAAUUCCUGGUGUAGCGGUGAAAUGCGCAGAUAUCAGGAGGAACACCGAUGGCGAAGGCAGGUCUCUGGGCAUUAACUGACGCUGAGGAGCGAAAGCAUGGGGAGCGAACAGGAUUAGAUACCCUGGUAGUCCAUGCCGUAAACGUUGGGCACUAGGUGUGGGGGACAUUCCACGUUUUCCGCGCCGUAGCUAACGCAUUAAGUGCCCCGCCUGGGGAGUACGGCCGCAAGGCUAAAACUCAAAGGAAUUGACGGGGGCCCGCACAAGCGGCGGAGCAUGCGGAUUAAUUCGAUGCAACGCGAAGAACCUUACCAAGGCUUGACAUGUGCCAGACCGCCGUGGAAACACGGUUUCCCCUUUGG